GGUGCUUUUUGGAGCCAGGGUCCUCCGGUUUAAGUCCCGCUUGUGCUCCGGGGCGGCGUCCUGUCCGCAGCCUGGUUCUGCUCCGUCGGAGUUGCGGUUUUCCAGUAACAGCCACCAGAAAGUGCUCCAGGUGCUGUGCAGGGGCCCUGGAGAGAGCUGGAAACUCUGCAGCCUUCCUGGCCCUCCCAGCAAGCCCAGCCCUGCCUGGCUCCAGAUCGGUCAUGCCUGGAUGGGCUUAAAGAGCCGCAACCCAUUCUGAUGGAGAAGUUAUAAACUUCAUUCUGCAAGCUUGGAUAAGAUACAGGUGGAUGCAGGGGACCCCAUGGAGAACGCUCCCUGCGCGGGAGGGCAGCGGACCCCUUGGAUAAAAGGACUCUGGAUCCCUGAAUGACUGUGUGGAGCAGAGCCCCACCUGCCCUCUCCCCAACCAGCACUCAGAUUGCAACAUGAGUGAGAAAUAAACUUGAUCGCAUGGAGUCAUUGAGACUUGGCGGGUGGCGUAUUAGCGCAGUGAGCCUACCCCGAUGCACUCAGUGGGAUGAAUCGUUCUUGCCUGCCCUGCCCCCAUUCUCCCAUAGGAUUCUUUAGCUCCCACCAACGCUCUUAGCAGAGCGCAUAGCAACAGCCUUCUCCUGGCUGGCUCCUCCCCUGACCAGGAGCUGUGGGAAGGCAGGGAUGGCCCAUGCCUGUCUCGUCCUCCAGGUAAGCUGCCAUUCAGCUCCGCACCUGGCUUGUGGCAGCCACUAAAUAAAUAUUUGUGGAGUUGCUUUAUGGGUGUUG